GAUUUCGGCUGAAAAAGACAUCCACAACAAAGUUGUAUAACUCAUCAAGAUCUAUAACUUCUAUUUUGGUCAUUUCUUCAUCCGACAAAGUGAUAGUAAUAUUUUCACAAAAUUUACAUCACUCUUAUAGUUUAUAAAACUAUAUAAGAGAUGUACAUUUUGUGAAUAAUAUUACAAAUCACUUUGUCGGAUGAAGAAAUGACCAAAAUAGAAGUUGUAGAUCUUGAUGAGUUAUACCACUUUGUUAUCGAUGACUUUUUUAAUUAAAAUC
rnacentral:pre_miRNA from 1 species